rnacentral:lncRNA from 1 species
AUAAUCGCAAGUUUUCUAAAGUAAGUGUUAAGAAAAGGGGGGUCAGGGUGCCAUAGGAAGAAACUGUGGAAACUUUAGUCAGGCUGAGGGGGACAUUAAGGCCAUCUUGGUCAGUGGAAAGCAGUGGCAAGCAGGCCGAGACUCUGGUGGCUUGUGGGAAGGAGAGAUUUCUGCAGGACCUGGUCAGCGAGGGCUCAACCAUGACCUCCCCUGCGUCCAGAGGAGUGGAACCUGGCUGACGAGCGGAGUAGGUCCGCACCUGGGAUCCGAACCUGCAAACCUGGGCCACCGAAGCGGAACGUGCAGAAAUUUAACCUCUUGGCCAUGGGGCUGGCCCUCUGGAUUUCCUUCUGUUUUAAGGCUGAAUAAUAUUCCAUAUAUGUAUAGACCACAUUUGCUUUGUCCCUUCAUCUGUCGAUGGACAUUUAUGUUGUUUCCACCUCUUGGCUAUCGUGACGGAUGCUGCCGUGGACCUGGGAGUGCAGAUCCUGUUUUCAAUUCUUUUGAAUAAAUACUCAGAUUUGGGAUUGCUGGCAAGAAACUGGAAAAUAGCACAGGAGGCUGAUGAAUAGCUUUUAAAAUCAUUUUAAGUUUUGCCCCUACAACAAGUAGUUUCUGAUCAAAAUACUCCUGCUCAGCAGAAAAGGACUCAUAGGGAUUUCAUGAAAUAACAUGUAAGAUAGAGGAAAAGAUUUUGUAUUGAGAGAAAAUAAAUGUUUUAAAUUUUGGGUAAUUUCCUUUCCUUCCUCCCCAGCCUUGUCCAGUGGGAGGCACUGUAGUUGUGUGGAAAGAGGAACGCUUCAGGGUUUGGAUUUCUGCAGGGUCUGGGCUUCAAGGGUGCCUGGUCCCCUAAAUUUGUUCGUAAAAUGUGUGCAUGGAGCAGUCUUUAGCUGUCACCAGAUUCUCAGAGAAGUCUGUGGCCAGGAGCUAAGAACCAGCUUUAAAGACUGGCUGUCCAGCCUUAGUUAUUUUGCAUCUCAGGUAACCAACCAGCACUUGAUGAUGCAAAGAGGAUGCUGCGUCUUUUGCUUCCUGUUUACCUGGGAGGAGGUGUGAAAUGAAGUGCUAACGGCAGGGCACUGGAGAAAGUUUCAGUGGUAAUGUGUUUCUUGAGGAGGAAAAGCUUUCACCUGACGCAUUUCCUUGCCUGGAUUUGAGUCACACUGUGCUAUCUUAAACCGCCCUGGCUUUGCUUUUGAGAGAACCUAAAUUGAGUUGUCCUUGAUGGAUUCCCCUCAUCCUGCCUCUGGGAUCCUGUGCUCUCCUUCAGUUCCUGAGCCUCCUCUGCAGAAUCCUGUUGGGAAUUAAUCCAUGUCUUCCCUGAGUUUCCCUGUUUCAAUAAAUCCUCCGUAUACUGUAUCUAAUUUCUUCUGAAUUGAGGAUCCAAUCCAAGGAGCAGCUCCGACCUGGCACCUGACUGGGCUCAUGUCAGAGGGAAGAGAGAGACAUGGUGGUAACAUGUGGACGCUCCUACAGAUUGUGCUUGGAAAUAGCGAAGGUGGUGGCGCUUUAUUUUGUCUGGGUAGUGACCUCAUGGAAAAAGUCAGUUCCAGAACUUUGUGUUUAUGUUAGAAUUCAGAAGUGAGAUGCUUAUUAAAGGGAAAUCUGUUAACACUUUUAUUUGAAUUGAAAAAUGAAGUCAGAUUUUUUUCUUAUAGAAAGCAAAUCUGAUUUGGCUGACCGGUUGGUAAUGACGACUGGCUUUGUCAAUUAGGUUAUGUGGUGGAUAGCUGUAUAAAUUGAAGGAGCUAAAUCUGCAGUUACAAGCUUUGGAUGAAUAUAUUUAAUGAUCAGAUAAGAACAUU